rnacentral:rRNA from 1 species
CCCGAUCCCAUCUGAUCUUGGAAGCUAAGCAGGGUUGAGCCUGGUUAGUACUUGGAUGGGAGACCACCUAGGAAGACCAGGUGCUGUAGGCA